rnacentral:rRNA from 1 species
GGGUUGUGAGGUUAAGCGACUAAGCGUACACGGUGGAUGCCCUGGCAGUCAGAGGCGAUGAAGGACGUGCUAAUCUGCGAUAAGCGUCGGUAAGGUGAUAUGAACCGUUAUAACCGGCGAUUUCCGAAUGGGGAAACCCAGUGUGUUUCGACACACUAUCAUUAACUGAAUCCAUAGGUUAAUGAGGCGAACCGGGGGAACUGAAACAUCUAAGUACCCCGAGGAAAAGAAAUCAACCGAGAUUCCCCCAGUAGCGGCGAGCGAACGGGGAGCAGCCCAGAGCCUGAAUCAGUGUGUGUGUUAGUGGAAGCGUCUGGAAAGGCGCGCGAUACAGGGUGACAGCCCCGUACACAAAAAUGCACAUGCUGUGAGCUCGAUGAGUAGGGCGGGACACGUGGUAUCCUGUCUGAAUAUGGGGGGACCAUCCUCCAAGGCUAAAUACUCCUGACUGACCGAUAGUGAACCAGUACCGUGAGGGAAAGGCGAAAAGAACCCCGGCGAGGGGAGUGAAAAAGAACCUGAAACCGUGUACGUACAAGCAGUGGGAGCACGCUUAGGCGUGUGACUGCGUACCUUUUGUAUAAUGGGUCAGCGACUUAUAUUCUGUAGCAAGGUUAACCGAAUAGGGGAGCCGAAGGGAAACCGAGUCUUAACUGGGCGUUAAGUUGCAGGGUAUAGACCCGAAACCCGGUGAUCUAGCCAUGGGCAGGUUGAAGGUUGGGUAACACUAACUGGAGGACCGAACCGACUAAUGUUGAAAAAUUAGCGGAUGACUUGUGGCUGGGGGUGAAAGGCCAAUCAAACCGGGAGAUAGCUGGUUCUCCCCGAAAGCUAUUUAGGUAGCGCCUCGUGAAUUCAUCUCCGGGGGUAGAGCACUGUUUCGGCAAGGGGGUCAUCCCGACUUACCAACCCGAUGCAAACUGCGAAUACCGGAGAAUGUUAUCACGGGAGACACACGGCGGGUGCUAACGUCCGUCGUGAAGAGGGAAACAACCCAGACCGCCAGCUAAGGUCCCAAAGUCAUGGUUAAGUGGGAAACGAUGUGGGAAGGCCCAGACAGCCAGGAUGUUGGCUUAGAAGCAGCCAUCAUUUAAAGAAAGCGUAAUAGCUCACUGGUCGAGUCGGCCUGCGCGGAAGAUGUAACGGGGCUAAACCAUGCACCGAAGCUGCGGCAGCGACGCUUAUGCGUUGUUG